UCCAUAGCUCCAUCAGUAGAGCACGAGACUCUUCAUCUCAGCGUCAUGGGUUUGAGCCCCAUGUUGGGUGAA